AAACAAUAGCAUGAGCAAUCUGUGCCUUAAGGGCAUGUUCCUGCUGCAGAUAACUAGCCAGACCUACCCCUUUAUUUCGGCCCAUCCCUUCAUUUCCCAUAAGGGAUACUUUUAGUUAAUAUAUCUAUAGAAACAAUGCUAAUGACUGGCUUGCUGCUAAUAAAUACGUGGGUAAAUCUGUGUUCGGGGCUCUCAGCUCUGAAGGCUGUGAGACCCCUGAUUUCCCACUUCACACCUCUAUAUUUGUGUGUGUGUGUGUGUUUAAUUCCUCCAGCGCCGCUGGGUUAGAGUCUCCCCGACUGAGCUGGUCACGGCAAGUGGCGUCCAUUGUGGGGGCUCAAAUCCAGGUUGAAGGGUUGCCAGAGUGACGGUUGGAGAACGUGGAGAACUAAGCUGGAGGACACCCGAGUACUCUUAAAGCAAUCCCCAUGGCCAAAAUCAACAGCCGAUUUGGAUACCAUCAAGACACCUGAAACCUUAUCAUGAGCCAGAUGCCAAGGAAGAGAUUCCAGGAGGAUCCCAAGGACCCCCUGUUGCAGCCGUGUUGAGGCUGAUGCUCAGGAGGACCCCAACUGUCACAAGCAACACCUGUUGAACACAACCACCCACCGGAGGACAGAUCAAGAAGCUGUCACAGAUGGCAGAAGAAAACCUAAGGAAAGCGAGACAGCCAGUCACAAUGAGUAAUUUAAUAGUAGCUACGAUAGUGAUGAUCACCAUUGCCUCUGCAGAUGCGGAUCCUGACUCCUAUGAGAAGUAGCUCACCGUGACAAAGGUGUCUGGCUCUCCCAGGCCAAGCAACACCAUCAUACCCAGGUGAUUGCGCAACUUCCAGGCCCACCCAGGAACACCCACAGGUGGAGCAGAGAAACGCAGAGAUGUGGACGGUCUCUCUUCAGAAGCUUUAUUCUCCCUGGGAGGGGCACACCUCACCCAGCCAAGGGC
rnacentral:lncRNA from 1 species